rnacentral:snRNA from 1 species
AUAAUUUUAAUAUUAAGUAAUAAUAACAUUUUAAAAUCUGUUAUCAGUUUAAUAUCUGAUAUGUCCUUUAUUUGAGGACUGUAUAUUAAGUUGAUUUUUGAAACAGGGGGGUGGAAUAGGAGCUUGCUCUGUCCACACCGUGCAUUGACCUGGUAUUGCAGUGCCUUCGGGAAUGGUGCUUCUCCU